rnacentral:hammerhead_ribozyme from 1 species
AUCCAGGUGACGAGUCCCAAAUUAGGACGAAACGCGUGUCAGGGAU